GUCACAGACGCGUGGGGCUCGCGGGGAGCCGGGCUGGGGCCGUCCGUGUCCCGCGGGGCUCUGGGCGGCCGCUCGACCGAGGACCCACGACUCCGCCCCGACCCCGCCGUGUUCGCGAGACCCGGAGACCCCUUCGCGCCUUCCAGGACCGCCCCUUUCGCGACGCUGCGUGCUGUGCUUGGUCCUGGCGGCCAAGAGCGGCGGUGGCAAGGGGACCGCCCUGGCCCGAGACGCGGCCUGGCCUCGCAGCGUCGCUUGGGCACAGCCUCUCUAGGCCCCUUCGUCCUCGGUCGCGGAGGGACGCCAUUAAACGGCCACGCCGGGCUCAACUGGGACGCGGCCCACGGCGCCCAACCAGGGCCUGGGGGAGGGAAGCCGGGGCGACUCCUGGGUCCUUCCAGGACCCUUGCGCAGGCCUCAUUCUCUCCCCGGAGGUCCCCUUCCCGCUGCCCUGAGGCCACUCUCCUGCCAGCAGCUGCUGGGCCGGCUCUCGGGAGAAUGCCUUGGCGUCAAGCUUAUCAGGCUGCAGGGCGGGACGCGAGUGCUGAGGGCAGCCAGACUC
rnacentral:lncRNA from 1 species